ensembl:lncRNA
AGUGAACUGAACAAGGAGCUGGUUUUGGAGAAUACGACAAAAUGGCUGUGGUUGCACUCUACCAAUCGGGGCGUUUAAAAAACGAAACUAUCUGAAGGGUUUGCAGAGGGAAAACAUCAUCACACAACCGGUCCUGGUGGCUUGCCGGUUAUAAACCGCUGAACGGUCGGUUCUCCGGGAGAGGCUGAAGCGAUCAGCGCCUUUUUUUUCUCAAUGCACAACAACGCCUCUACUAGCGGUGUGCAGUGAAUGAGGAGCGGGGCGGUUGCGUGGACCGGACCCACCGGUCGGCUGAGAGUGCGCAGGAGGGGGGGGGGGGGCACUGGUCGGUUAACAGCGGCGUUUAACAUUUCAAAGGGGUUAAGCCCGCCAACGUUCCAGCCUACCGAAUCACGCCUUGUGCUUUCUGCUAUGGAAAUGAGAACGGCCCCCGGAGUAAUUGAACGCCGCUCCGGCAAUCAGUCCGCUUCCCCAACGCCGCAUUGUCUCAAGGUGGAUCACAACACGCCCCACGGGGGGGUCGAUGGCGGCGGUCGGAAUCAAACCCUCGACGAAAAAUACAAAUAAGAAUGAAUGGGGGACGCGUACCAGUGAGGCCCCAUCCUUACCGCAGCGGCCAGGGUGAGAUUCCUGUUUCUUCUCUGCAUGUCGUCCCCUCUCUCUCCCAUACCUUCCUGUGCGACUCCACAACGAAGAGGAGAAAACCUUCAAAAAUAAAUAAGAAGGAAUGAAAUAAUAAAAAG